rnacentral:lncRNA from 1 species
UGUAGCAUGACUGUGUCGGUGACGGGGUGACGAGGUGCCAGUAGCUGCGCAUGGGCGCCGGGGGUAAAUCAACCCAGCGAGCCCCAGUCUCGCUGGUUGUGUUGCCAAAGGCUUACGCCACCAGACUGAUUACAUUCUGUGUCAACCAACCCAUACGCGAGCCUACAUGCCUCUGUCCACCUCUCGCUCUCCUCUCUGUCUCCACCAAACGGGAGCCAUCGACAGCCCCGUUAGUCUGCGUCAGUCUGCCUAGGCCCCGCAGCAGCAGCCAGCUCUACGCUGAAUUCUCCACGUAUACGUAUACAACUGGACAUCCCCGCCAGCGGCUAGGCUUGAUCACCCUGGUGCGCAACGGGAAUUCCGGGACUCACUGGCCUUACGGGGACGCCACCUGCUUGGCAUCGUAUCAGGUCUGUGGCAGUCCCGUGCCGUUGCCGUCAUAUGGGAACCACCUGCGCUCCCCUUCUCUCCCCCCACCUUCUCCCCUCACGCCUCCGACCCCUCAAGACUUCUCUUCUUCUUCACCGGCCCGAGCCUCCCUGCCCGGCCGGCCUCUGCAUCUAUUCUUCAGUGGAGCUCUUCCCUUCUCUGCUCUCCGCCACUGAGAGCGUGACUUGCGCAGGAAAGGCCAGCGUUGAUGAGUGAGACAGCGUCUGCCCUCUGGUGCCCGGUCCUUGCAAGCCGAGCCCACCUAUGCGGCGCCGGUGCGUCUCAGCACCCGGCGCCCCUUCCUUCCUGUAUCAUUCUAUCCGCCUAGACCUACGACAACAAGAAACCGAGACCGCGUUACAGCGAGCGACAACAUCUUCAGUGGAGCGAGCGCGUCACACCGUCUGACAACACCGACUGCGUCCGUCCAAGACCCGUCAUCGUCAGCACCCACACCCGCCUCCGUUUCCCCUGUCUAUCCUCUCAGUUAACAGCUCCGUCAAGUUGCAAGUGAUUCACAUGAGGCAGACCACAGGCGCAACGCGCCCAUCACACCGACUGCUAUUUGCGGAACUGGCACAACUACCCCUCCAUUACUUCUUCGCCAAGCAAUGCAUCGGCUUCUACAAUAGGAUAGCUGCCCGAAAAGAUAGCAUAGCGCACGACGCAAUGGUUGACGAAGUGAGAGAGGCUUUGGCUUGCCCGGACGGCGAUGGCUGGUGUGCUAAGUUGUUUCGCUUUGCGCGCGCACAUGGUGUGGACGUUUGGAAAGGGCGCAUGCACAUGAUAAGCCCUGAACGUGAAGCGAGCAGAGCAGGUAGCCCACUGGCGGAGGGGCCACUCAUGAGUGCAUUCCGAGAAAAUAUCAUGAAGGCAUGGCAGCACGAGCGGAUGAACACCGAGCCAGCCACAUUCCCAUCUGACCACAAGCAACCCGGUUUGCACAUGAGCAAGUAUAAGCAUUGGAUGGGCCUGGGCGGAGGAGGAGCUGCACCAUUGAUUAUGCCACCACAUAGCAAGGCGUUUAUCCCAGUGGCACAACACAUGUCGCUGAUGCGUUUCCGCCUGGGCUGCUGGCCACUCACUGCAAACCGCGCGUACGGGCGGCCUAGAGACGAGCGCAUAUGCCCACUUUGUGCUGCAAAUGAGAUAGAGGAUGAGAACCAUGUGCUGUGUCGGUGUACGGCCUACAGUCAGCUGCGCGAGUGUAGCGGUCUUCCAUUCGAGGGCGGUAUACGGACAGUCAUGCAGACCCCAGACCAAGCUAGGUUAGCGGCGCUACUCGACUCCAUCUGGGAGCACAGGAGCAGAAGCAUCCCUCUACGGGGAAAUUGAAGCUGUUUAGUGAGUGUUUUUCUUGGCGUCUUCAAAGGAGAGGAUCGCACGCAAGAUCGUGUCCACCUUGCAACCACACACACACACAACAGCUCCGGGCGUCCUCAUACGACUGGUGCUGGGUGCCUGCGCGUUCGGAAAGACCCGCCCACGACAAGCAGAUUGCCUGCAAAACCCGUCUGGCUGAGCGAAAAAAUUGGACCUGACGGCUUUGUGGGGGCUGUGCGCCGUUUGGACCGACACCCGCUACACUUUUUACCUUGUCCCUUUUUCCUCAUCACACACCGACGGAACAAGCGCUCAACCACUUAUGCAUUAUUAUGUUAUAAAUGUUUAUUGUUCUUUUAUGCGAGUGGGCACCUAUAUGAUCAGCGAACUCGGCCGCGACCGGCAAAACACACACGUCUUGACAUGUUUACCCGUCCAGACACCCCGAAGUCCCCCGCUACCAAACGCGUCAUAACGCUCAGCGGGUGGCCCAUCGCUAUGCUCACCACAAGCGCUCCUCUCGGUGGGAUCCACGGCCGUCACGUGACCCCAGGUUGCGAGCUGCACAGGUGCGCCAGGGGGUGGUCAGCGCCGCUGGCAUCGCUGCGAAGGUGGCUGCAGGCCCCGCCUGGCGCUGCCGUGCGUGGCACUUCGCCCACAGGCCCCAGCGAGGCCGCGGCUGCAAUCCUCGGCCCCGCGGCUGCGGCCCACGGCCCCGCACCUACAGGCGCCGGCGCUGCAGCUGCAGGCUCUCAUGCGACAUGCCCCGGCGCCGCAGCUGCAGACAGCGCCAUCGCCGACCCUCUCCAGAACUCUCCAGAAACCUUCAGAGCCCGCCAGAGCCCGCCAGAGCCCGCCAGAGCCCGCCAGAGCCCGCCAGAGCCCGCCAGAGCCCGCCAGAGCCCGCCAGAGCCCGCCAGAGGCCUAUACAGAUCACUCCAUAGGCUGAGGGGCUCUGAAACAUUUUGUUUCACAAAUGCUAGACCAUCCUAAAAGCAGCAGGAAGACGCUUUUUUUUGUAAAGCCCUGAAAAAAACGCGCAUUUGAAGUUCACUUUUGGUGUUUGGACAUUUCGUGUGAAAUUAGCAUUUUACGGCGGCACCUUUCCUGAUUAGGCACUCACAGGUGUGGACUACAUGCUGUCGCUGCAAAAGGGGCAGCGUGCUAAGAACGCGCGUAUGGUGAGUGGGUUUAAGCGCGUGUGAUUGCUUGAGGGCAAGGGGCUGUUUAGCGCGCGUGUCGUGUGUUAUCGUGUCUGUGGCUUAGUGCAACUGCAUAACCCCCCGGGGGGUAGCCUGCUGCGUGUGCUAUGUGUCAUGCUGCUGGUAACUACUCGUGCCUGGUUCGUAGUCAGGACAAAACCCGCUGUGUGACUAAGGUGGAGCUGAGUGUCAGGGGGGUGUAGCAUGACUGUGUCGGUGACGGGGUGACGAGGUGCCAGUAGCUGCGCAUGGGCGCCGGGGGUAAAUCAACCCAGCGAGCCCCAGUCUCGCUGGUUGUGUUGCCAAAGGCUUACGCCACCAGACUGAUUACAUUCUGUGUCAACCAACCCAUACGCGAGCCUACAUGCCUCUGUCCACCUCUCGCUCUCCUCUCUGUCUCCACCAAACGGGAGCCAUCGACAGCCCCGUUAGUCUGCGUCAGUCUGCCUAGGCCCCGCAGCAGCAGCCAGCUCUACGCUGAAUUCUCCACGUAUACGUAUACAACUGGACAUCCCCGCCAGCGGCUAGGCUUGAUCACCCUGGUGCGCAACGGGAAUUCCGGGACUCACUGGCCUUACGGGGACGCCACCUGCUUGGCAUCGUAUCAGGUCUGUGGCAGUCCCGUGCCGUUGCCGUCAUAUGGCAUGUCAAGCGAAAGAGGUUACAUGUGGGACGACAGCCAUGGACGUGCCAGGCCUCCAAAAACGCACGAGACACGUACGCUCACCCGAGGAGGAUGACCCCUAAUGACCCCCAUGCUCCUCGCCUCUGGAGAGGACCCCGAGCUAGGCUCACUGCAAUCGCACGCGUUGCUAACCUAAGCCGCGGGUCGGAUAAUAAUAAUAAUAAUAGGUACUCCCUGCAUGACAGGGCGUGUUCUGCGGAGGUAGGGGUGUGAGGGCGUGAGAGACCACCGCAUAGAUGGUCUCCGC